GUAAAAGUCCUCAGUGGCCUGUAGUGCAUUGAUGGACAGUUUUUGGUAUGAUUAUGACCAGGGAUUAUUCGGUAUAGUCAUGACCAUUGAUGAUUUAAUGAAUAUCCUUGGCCCGUAGUGCAGGGAUGACUCGAUGAUGUGGUUUAUUUAUUAAGCUGAGUCUCAGCGAUAAAAAUUGAUAAAAACAUUUUAAAUCAUAGAAGAUAGUAGAUAUCAUGCUCUACUUGACUCUUCUAAUGGAUUGCUUAUUCCGCUGCAGUUAAAC
rnacentral:lncRNA from 1 species